rnacentral:rRNA from 1 species
CUAGCAUAUCAAUAAGCGGAGGAAAAGAAACCAACAGGGAUUGCCCUAGUAACGGCGAGUGAAGCGGCAACAGCUCAAAUUUGAAAUCUGGCUCUUUUAGAGUCCGAGUUGUAAUUUGCAGAGGGCGCUUUGGCUUUGGCAGCGGUCCAAGUUCCUUGGAACAGGACGUCACAGAGGGUGAGAAUCCCGUACGUGGUCGCUGGCUAUUGCCGUGUAAAGCCCCUUCGACGAGUCGAGUUGUUUGGGAAUGCAGCUCUAAAUGGGAGGUACAUUUCUUCUAAAGCUAAAUAUUGGCCAGAGACCGAUAGCGCACAAGUAGAGUGAUCGAAAGAUGAAAAGCACUUUGGAAAGAGAGUCAAACAGCACGUGAAAUUGUUGAAAGGGAAGCGCUUGCAGCCAGACUUGCUUACAGUUGCUCAUCCGGGUUUCUACCCGGUGCACUCUUCUGUAGGCAGGCCAGCAUCAGUUUGGGCGGUAGGAUAAAGGUCUCUGUCACGUACCUCCUUUCGGGGAGGCCUUAUAGGGGAGACGACAUACUACCAGCCUGGACUGAGGUCCGCGCAUCUGCUAGGAUGCUGGCGUAAUGGCUGUAAGCGGCCCGUCUUGAAACACGGACCAAGGAGUCUAACAUCUAUGCGAGUGUUUGGGUGUCAAGCCCGAGCGCGUAAUGAAAGUGAACGGAGGUGGGAACCCGCAAGGGUGCACCAUCGACCGAUCCUGAUGUCUUCGGAAGGAUUUGAGUAAGAGCAUGGCUGUUGGGACCCGAAAGAUGGUGAACUAUGCUUGAAUAGGGUGAAGCCAGAGGAAACUCUGGUGGAGGCUCGCAGCGGUUCUGACGUGCAAAUCGAUCGUCAAAUUUGGGCAUAGGGGCGAAAGACUAAUCGAACUAUCUAGUAGCUGGUUCCUGCGAGU